rnacentral:snRNA from 1 species
GUGCUCAUUUUGGCAGCACAUAUACUAAAAUUGGAAAGAUACAGAGAAGAUUAGCAUGGCCCCUGCACAUGUCACAAGGAUGAUAUGCAAAUUUGUGAAGUGUUCCAUAUAUUU